GCUUCAUUAGCUCAGCUGGUAGAGCAAAGUACUUAUAAUAUAGUAUGUUAUGCUUUGGUCCCGAGUUCAAACCUCGGAUGGAGUA
rnacentral:tRNA from 1 species